rnacentral:rRNA from 1 species
UACGUAGGGUGCAAGCGUUAAUCGGAAUUACUGGGCGUAAAGCGUGCGCAGGCAGUUUUGUAAGUCAGAUGUGAAAUCCCCGGGCUUAACCUGGGAACUGCGUUUGAAACUACAAGGCUAGAGUGUGGCAGAGGGGGGUGGAAUUCCACGUGUAGCAGUGAAAUGCGUAGAGAUGUGGAGGAACACCGAUGGCGAAGGCAGCCCCCUGGGUUAACACUGACGCUCAUGCACGAAAGCGUGGGGAGCAAACAGG